UGAGGAAGAUAAUGACGGUACUCAACAAGGAAGUGACGGCUAACUACGUGCCAGCAGCCGCGGUAAAACGUAGGUCACAAGCGUUGUCCGGAAUUACUGGGUGUAAAGGGAGCGCAGGCGGGAAGACAAGUUGGAAGUGAAAUCCAUGGGCUCAACCCAUGAACUGCUUUCAAAACUGUUUUUCUUGAGUAGUGCAGAGGUAGGCGGAAUUCCCGGUGUAGCGGUGGAAUGCGUAGAUAUCGGGAGGAACACCAGUGGCGAAGGCGGCCUACUGGGCACCAACUGACGCUGAGGCUCGAAAGUGUGGGUAGCAAACAGGAUUAGAUACCCUGGUAGUCCACACCGUAAACGAUGAUUACUAGGUGUUGGAGGAUUGACCCCUUCAGUGCCGCAGUUAACACAAUAAGUAAUCCACCUGGGGAGUACGACCGCAAGGUUGAAACUCAAAGGAAUUGACGGGGGCCCGCACAAGCAGUGGAGUAUGUGGUUUAAUUCGACGCAACGCGAAGAACCUUACCAAGUCUUGACAUCCCUUGACGAUGCUGGAAACAGUAUUUCUCUUCGGAGCAAGGAGACAGGUGGUGCAUGGUUGUCGUCAGCUCGUGUCGUGAGAUGUUGGGUUAAGUCCCGCAACGAGCGCAACCCUUAUGGUCAGUUACUACGCAAGAGGACUCUGGCCAGACUGC
rnacentral:rRNA from 1 species